AUACUUACCUGGCGUAGGAAAUACCGUGAUCAUGCAGGCGGUUCCCCCAGGGUGAGGCUGCUCCAUCGCACUGCGGAGUCGGAGUGGUCGACCCUUGCGAUUAUUUUUAUUUUUAUCAAUAAAAAAAUCAUAAUAAAAAAUGUAUACCCGAAUAAUUAUUUUCUUUAUAC
rnacentral:snRNA from 1 species